UAUGAAACUCUGCAUGCAUUGUUUGGUAAGAUUGUUAAUGAGAGAUUUGGCCAAACUGACUUUAUGUGUCUAAAAGCGCAACUAAAUGUACGAAUAUAUAUAUGAUAUUAAUUAAUGUGAAACUGAAACUAAUCUACAUCAAAUCACUGAAGUAGUGGCAUAUUGAUUGAAAUUUGUAAAUGUUGAAAGCGCUGUAAAUGUUGAUAGCGAAAUAAGAAGUGAUAACAGUGGUGACAUGUGGCUAUCUAACUCAAAGCCAUCACUUUGAAUGUCCACCGGUCCAUCUAAACAGUUUCCUGGCUGACCCAUUUUUAGUCAAUUGUACAAUAUGUAUACACUUUUUUAACACUGUUGAUUACCACUAUGUUGUCAAAAUGUAUCCACAUUCCGUAAAAAUGCAAGUAACUAAUUUUUUAACACUGGAUUAUUAUGAUAUUAUAAUUAUGAAAAUUAUAUAAAUGAUCUUACAGUGAAAAAAUCUAUAUGUUUCACUUAGAACAUCUCCAACAAGCCUCUUCAUUUUUUAUGGGGUCUACCCUUAAAUUAAAAGGUUGAAGGGGUGAUUCUCCAAUGGUGACCUUCAAAUUUUUUUUCUCUUAAAAACUUAUAUUUUACAAUUUAGUACUCAAUUUCAGUAAUAGUUCAUUAUAGUCAUUGAAAUUUUAUAAAUUAACAAUAAACCCAUAUUAAUAUAUGGUAUUAACAUAAUUAGUAAACAUAUUUAAUUAUAACAUCAAAUUACUUAUACUAAAAGAUAAAAAAAACAUUAACACAUAAAAUUACAUAUAAUAAUAAAACAUAAACAAUUCAAACAUAAACAUUAAUAUUAGUAUUGUAAUAUAUAUUUCAAUGUGUAAUAUUUCAGCUUAUGGAUUUACUUGAAUAUUAGUAUUGUAAGAUAUAUUUUAAUGUGUAAUAUUUCAGUUUUUUAUGUAUCUUUUACUUUGAUGUAAAAUAUUAUGAUUGUAUUAUAAUUUUGUAUUUGUGUUAAAUUUUUGAAAUAUAUUAUGUGAAAUAAUAUGUUUAUAUUAUAUUUUUAUUAAUAUUAGUAUAUAUUGAUAUAUAAUAUUUAUUAAUAUAUUAUUAUUAUUUAAAAAUAAUUUUAUAAGACCACAAUUAUAAUAUUUAAGUUCCAAUAUAGUUAUAAUAGUAGAAUGCCAAAUAAUAAAUAAUAAGUACACAAUCAUUAAACAUAUAUAAAUAGAAGGACUAAAGUGAAAAGUAAACAAUGUUUUAAAGGUCACUACAGUGUCCCUUCAAAUUUGAGAGUGUACUGUUCACCCUUUUAUAAUUUGAAAGGAUGAAGUGAUGAAAGAAUGUUGGAAUGCAAAAGCCUUUAAAAAAUAAAGGGAUAAAAAACUGUUGGAGAUGCUCUUAUACGUCUUGAAAAUCACUUCUUAGACUCUUUGAGGAUCACUUAUUACACAUUUUUGUCAUAUAAUAUUUUCUUAUAAAUUUCAUUUUUAACCGCUCACAUGUUUCAAACUGAUCCUCAAGACGUGUAAGUGAAACAUGUAGAAGUUUGUAAGGUUUUAAAAUAAUGUUAUGUUUUUUAAAUUAAUCUUAUUAUACUAUAUAUUUAUAUUUUAUAGUUUAUAGCAUGUCAUUAUGUUCUGCUAAAGUUAAUAUCAAAAAUUAAAUUUUAGUUAAUUUUUUUUAAGUUCUAACUUUAUAAAUAUAGUUUUGUAACUUUUGAAAAUUUUCUUAUUUUUGUUUAGUAUUUUAAUUGAAAAUCAAUUAUAAAUAUUAAUUUAAUUUAUCAUGUCAUUAGUAUUUAUGUAGUUAUCUUGUUACAUCAUCAUUUUCGUAUUAUCAUGCCAUGUCAUCUGUUUUUUUGGUGGAAAAUAUAUGUGAAGGUUUCUUAUGUUAAAAUUGUUCAUUCGAAUAUUUGAUGUGGUAGUGAAAAAAUUCAAAUUUUAAAAUGCGUGUAAGUAUCAUUUUGAAGGUUUAAAAUAAGAUUUUUUAAUAUAUAUCGUUGAAGAACAUAAAUACCUUCAAAAAUUAAUUAUUAGAUACAAAAAAGAAUUUUAUCCUUAUUUAUUUUGUUGCUUUUUAAUCUUAUUUAUUGUGUGACUAUAAAUUGACUUACUAAUUAGAUGAAUCUCAUGCAUCUAUCUAUACUAUACUAAAAGCUCAAUAUACUGAGCAGAGAGCUAUGACACGUAGGACAGUUUAUUCGGACCAAUCAGAAACAUGCUUUUUGCCACGUCAGAUGGCCUCACGGAUUGCUUUCGUUUAAACUCACGGGCCUUGGGGUUUUAUUUCUUUGCCUCAUCCGACGCAGCACGAAGCCCAAAUACGAAGCACGAAGCCCAUACGUUAGACUGCUUGACUUUGCCCCAUCCGACCCAGAUCACACAAUUAUACCUAGCCGUCGAAGAUGGCGAUUCUUCUCACCCGUCCGUCCCUGUUAUGUUUCUUUGUGUGCUUCUAUUACUACCAAGUUCAUGCGACCUUGAUGGAUCUGGUUCACAAGUCUGUGAAUGAGACAGGUGGGAUUGAACUAAUACCAAGCUUUGAGUGCGGAGAUGAAAAACACAGCCAUAGAGUCAGUGAACUAAAAGUGGGAGGGAAGUAAGAACACAACACUGCAGCUGGUGGACAUGGAGUGCAGUUACGUCACUGUUGAUUCUUCAGGAAGCAUUCCGCAGCUCUGAGAAUGCUGAGUGUUGUGCUCGGUUGUGGUCGGUGUGGUUCAGACCCGAAAGAGACAUUUAGGUUGAUUAAGAAUCAAUAGAUGUUCUCUUAUUGGAUUUCUACUUAACCACCAGACUGAGGCUGUGUUUGUUGAGUUAAGGGCAAGAGAGUCUGUUUUCGUACUAUUUUCUGUUCGAGGUUUACACUCUUGCAGGAAUGGUGAUCCCGCCAAACUCGAGAGGUAUUGGUUCUACCAUGGUAUUAAUAAUUAUGGGCUUGGUUGUUCUUCCAUGAUGUUGUCCUCGGUCUGUGUGAGGCCAAACUGGUUCCAUCAUCACUGCCUUUUUAAAUCACAAGGCAACUUUCCACUUGAACUCUACAAGGUAACACAAAACUCUGAAUCUGAUGACUAAUUGACGCUACUUUUCUGUGCUCACUUAGUCACUUUCAUAGAUAUGGCUUUUCUCAGAUGUCAUGGAGUAUUAAAGUAAGCUGAGGCUGCUUCAACACAAAAUGGAGAACUUUAACAAGACACACAUUACGGUUUUAGUAAGCUGAGGCUGCCUUCUAUCACUGUUUUGAUAUUAAUAUUAUCCUGUUUGACAAAAAAAAAAGAUAUUAAUAUUAUCCUUUUUAUUUGUUUGUCAGAUUUGGAAUGAGAGGGCUUGGGGCAGUAGCCAACAGCAACAGCAUGGAGGGGUUACUGGAGCGGGGAUCUCGGUCUUAAGGAUUUUGAGUGGGUAAUACCCAUCCUUUCUGGUUCAUAGAACGGAUCAAGGUGACUCGACAAGUGAUUGCUGAAGCCAAAGUGCCGUUUUACCAAUAUGGUGCUUCAGAGAUGCAAGAUGACAUUCCAGGGUCUAAUGCUUACAUUACUGGACUAAUUAUUAUCAGUG